UACGUAGGGCGCGAGCGUUGUCCGGAAUUAUUGGGCGUAAAGAGCUCGUAGGCGGUUUGUCGCGUCUGCUGUGAAAACUCGGGGCUUAACCCCGGGCCUGCAGUGGGUACGGGCAGACUAGAGUGCGGUAGGGGAGACUGGAAUUCCUGGUGUAGCGGUGAAAUGCGCAGAUAUCAGGAGGAACACCGGUGGCGAAGGCGGGUCUCUGGGCCGUAACUGACGCUGAGGAGCGAAAGCGUGGGGAGCGAACAGG
rnacentral:rRNA from 1 species